UCGAGACUGAAAUUAUAUUGAGCGAUUCAGAAAACCUGUGAAAUAAGCGGCGGCGGCUGUCGCCACGAAGCAGCUGUCCCCGUCGUCGCUCCCCCCCAGUCUGGAGGGGGGCCGCGGCGAGGGAAGGCUAAAACCCCAAACCGGAGCAUACUGGAGCCAAGGUAGCUAUCAAAAAACACGAGCCCAGAGUCGUGUCUUCGUGGGGUGGAGCGGUGCUGCGCACUGCACGUAUUGAUACGACUCUCGAUAAUGGUUAUCUCGGCUCUCGCAUCGAUGAAGAGCGCAGUGAAAUAUGAUACAUGGUGCGAAUUACAGAAUCCCGCGAGCCAUUGAGUCUUUGAACGCAAGUUGAGCCCGAGGCCAAUCGGUUGAGGGCAUGUCUGUCUGGGCAUCAAGCUUCACGCUGCUCUGUGCCUAGUCCCCACAAUCCCACCGUAGUGAGAGUGCUGGGUGAGUCUUGGACGGGUAGAGUGGCUCUUCGUGCCCAUCGGUGCGGCAGGCUGAAGAGCGGGUUAUUGUCUCAUUAGACACGAACAACGUGGGGUGGAUGAAAGCUUUCGCAGGCAAGGCCCGCGUUGUCUCGUACAGGCCCGGGAGAAGAUUAUACUCUUCGUGCGAUCCCAACCCACGCACGGCUCCCCAUGCGUUGGUUUGGAAU
rnacentral:rRNA from 1 species